rnacentral:lncRNA from 1 species
GUGGGCGGGGGCGGGCCUUGGCUGGGGUGGGUUAGAGGCAGAACCUGAUCACACUCACCUGACGGGACACCUUUGACAGCCUCCUCUCUCCCCUGCUGCCUGUUCUCUUUCUGCUCUUUGAAAAACAUACCUAAGUGUACACACAGACACACACCUACGCACAGACACACACACACACAGACCCCAUCUUGCUUGGUAGCUUCCACCGCUGAGUUAUAUCCCAGCCCUCGUGUAGUCCUUGCGAAGUCUCCCUGGGGCUCGUGGGUCAAGUUCUCUGCGUGGCCGCCAGGAGCCCGUGUGAUCUGCCUGCACUCACACGGCCCACUCUAGCCAGAGGGGCCACCUCCCCAGCCACCUCCAUGCCCCCCUUGGCGCGUGCUGUUCUCCAGCCUGGAGUGGACCACCCACCGCUCCUGCUCCCUUCCUCUAAUUCCCGGUGCAUUUCUGCUGCUGUCAUCCUACAUGACUCAGCCUCGGGCACCCCCAGCCCCUCCAGGGAGAACUGGCCCCUUUCCUGGUCCCCAGGCCUUUGUGCCUUGUCAUGUACUCGUGAGAUGGGGGAGGGGAUGGGCCUGGAUGAGAGGAUGACUUGGGUCAUCUUGAGUCUGGGUUUGCCUGCUGUCCUGCUGUCUGUGUGGGACACAGUGAGGGCACAGCCAUCGGUCACUGUGGGCUGGCUGCGUCUUUGCCUGGCAUCUCUGGCUGCAGCUGCAGGCUGGAGGGUGCAGAGGUGACCAGGAGCUGGAAUGGCCCGGAGCUUUGGGGAAGGGAGAGGGUGGCGAAGGGGUCUGCUGCCUCUGUCCCCCUUGACCUUACAUGCCUGCCCAUCUGCCGGGGCCCCAGGGAGCAGAGCCUGGUCCCAUGAAGAUGCUCCUUUCCUUCCUGGCAAGCCUCAGUCAUUGGGGUCAGCCUCAUUCUUCAUGAGAAUCACAGGAGCCUCGGACACCCCAAGGCCAGGCCUCACCCAGAUCAGUGAUCCCAGGCUCGGGUGUGGAGCCCAGGCCCCAGGACUUCAUAAAACUCCGGGAGAGUCCAGUGUCUGGCCGAGCCUGACCCCGGUUGGGGGUGGUCCUGCCCGAUCCUGGCUUUCCCUGGGUCCCUCCAGCCGGCUGGGGCAAGUUGCUCAAGGGGACCCUCCCUUCCCAGCCUUGGCUCCGCGCAAGUGCCCCCCAGGAACCAGGCCGUGAGCUCG